rnacentral:rRNA from 1 species
AGUGGGUGUAACGUACCUACUAGCCUACGACGGGUACGGGUUGUGAGAGCAAGAGCCCGGAGAUGGAUCCUGAGACAUGAAUCCAGGCCCUACGGGGUGCAGCAGGCGCGAAAACUUUACAAUGCGGGCAACCGCGAUAAGGGGACCUCGAGUGCUGGGUUACAAACCUGGCUGUUGGGCUGCCUAAAAAGCAGUCUAUAGCAAGGGCCGGGCAAGACCGGUGCCAGCCGCCGCGGUAACACCGGCGGCUCGAGUGGUAACCGCUGUUAUUGGGUCUAAAGGGUCUGUAGCCUGCCGGCUAAGUCUCUUGGGAAAUCUGGCAUCUCAAGUGUCAGGCUGCCAGGGGAUACUGGUCAGCUUGGGACCGGGAGAGGUGAGAGGUACCUCAGGGGUAGGGGUGAAAUCUUGUAAUCCUUGAGGGACCACCAGUGGCGAAGGCGUCUCACCAGGACGGAUCCGACGGCAAGGGACGAAAGCUAGGGGCACGAACCGGAUUAGAU